AACGAACGCUGGCGGCAUGCCUAACACAUGCGAGUCGAACGAGACCUUCGGGUCUAGUGGCGCACGGGUGCGUAACGCGUGGGAACCUGCCCUUAGGUUCGGAAUAACUCCCCGAAAGGGGUGCUAAUACCGGAUAAUGUCUUCGGACCAAAGAUUUAUCGCCUUUGGAUGGGCCCGCGUUGGAUUAGCUAGUUGGUAGGGUAAAAGCCUACCAAGGCGACGAUCCAUAGCUGGUCUGAGAGGAUGAUCAGCCACACUGGGACUGAGACACGGCCCAGACUCCUACGGGAGGCAGCAGUGGGGAAUAUUGGACAAUGGGCGAAAGCCUGAUCCAGCAAUGCCGCGUGAGUGAUGAAGGCCUUAGGGUUGUAAAGCUCUUUUACCCGGGAUGAUAAUGACAGUACCAGGAGAAUAAGCUCCGGCUAACUCCGUG
rnacentral:rRNA from 1 species